UAUUCUGCCCCAUGGGGAAGGAUGAGAAGCUUCGACUAAGGUUCGACUCGAGCGAAGCGAGAGAACGUUGCCGCAGGCAAUGGCCCGAAGGGCGAGGCGCUUUAGCGCCGAGUAAUCCUUCCCCCACCACCA
rnacentral:sRNA from 1 species